CUGACCUGCACUCGAAUAAAACACACGUCCCCCCAAGACAGGCUCAUUUCCAGUUUUGACGUGCCUGCCGUCUGUCAAAGACCCGGUGGGUGCUUCCCGCCACCCGGAUUCAUCUGCCUCCAGGACGGAGGGGCCCGUUGGGCAAUCCAUCACGGAGCACACCUGGUCUGCCCAAAGGAGACAGCAGCUGUGGUUUGCUCUGGAUUUCACAUCCCCCCUCUCCUCCUGUCUGCACCCCGUCCUGGAUACAGAAUCACACAGCUCAUUGGAUGGAGAGAGCUAGGCUUCUACCCUGCCAGUGACUCCUGCCAGCAUUGACUUCGGUGAGGGUCCCUCUUGGUCCCCAAGAAUAAAUGGUGGCUCGGUCGGGCACAGGGCUCCUCUUGGGAGCAACAGUGAGAGAGACGAAGCCCUUGUCGAACCCCUACUGUGCUCCAGGCGCGCGCGCGCGCACACACACACACACACACACACACACACACAUACACACACACACACACGUUAGCUCCUUCCACUCAAGGAUCUUGGCCACAUGCACAGCAAAAGGGUGCUGAGGGCCAGGGAGACAAAGAGACCCCAGCAAGGUCAGACCACAGAGCUGUUGGGAUCGGAAUGAAGGGCUUCCCGUUGGGGCGGCUGUGCACGCUCCACUAACCUGCACCACUGUAUACAAAGUGCCACCUUCUUCAACCACCGCUUUGGUCUGUGCCCAGGACCCGCUCCUAAGGAGGGGCCCAAGAGCUGAGGUCCUGCCCCCUGGACACAGAUAUCAGUCUGCUCCUUGAAAGAAAAGAAACAAUUCCGCUGAUCUCCACCUUUAAAGCGUGUCCCCAGAGGGUGAAGAUGUUCCAGAGAUGUCUCUGUCUCACUGCCACCCCGGACUGUCCAAAUAGCUUCUUGCUUCCAGUCCCCCUUGGGCCAAUGAACCAAUAACUUUCCAAAAGCAUGGAAGUGUUUCCCCCUCUGUCCCCACUGGCAGAAUAAUUAGCACUGAAGAUAAGUGUCUUUCUUCUUCUUUUUUUGUUAUCUGUCUUUAUUUCUCAUCCAUUUACAAGACAUCGCAGGCCCCAAUUGUUAUCGUGGUAAAAAUAUCCAUAACAUAAGAUUUAUCAUUUUAACCGUUCCCCAUAAGUACACAAGUCAGUAACAUAAUCUGUUCUCACUAUCCUGUACGGUCACCGAUCACCGCUAGCUGUCCCUAAAAGUUCUUCACCAUGGCUGAUAGAAACUUAGUACCUGUGAAUAAUUGCCCCCAGCCCUCCUGCCCCCAGCCCCAGGGAGAAUUCUUAUUUACCGAAUGCUUCCCCCGCCCCCCGGCCCCCACCCACUAUCCCUUUUCGGGGAGUAUUUUUAAGUCAACACGGCAGCACACAUCCAACCUGGCUGAGUACGGAAGCUGCCUAGAUUCUGGCCUCCGAAACCUAAUUAGGAAAAAGGAAACUACAAACCAAGGAUUCCCAAAGAAAGGAACCUGGGCGGCUGGAGUUACCUUCCUCCUGGAGGGUGGGGCCCGCCCCGGGGGGAUGGAAAGCUGGAUCCAGGUUUGUUUUUGAAAUGUCUGGGCUGGGCUUGGCCUCCUGGCUCUCCUGGCCACAGCUGGGCGGCCUGUCUCCCCUUGCCACACAGACCGUGAACUAUUUUCCCUCGCUCUCUGUUCCAGCUGCCUCCCAGGCCCAGCAACCGGCUGCCCUCCCCCGUGCUGGGUGUGGGUGUGGGGUGGCAGGAGGCAGCACCCCCCCACCCCCCCAGGGGGGCAGGGGCAGGCCCGCUGCUUGGUUUGUUGUUUUGAUCCCAGGCUGCAGUUUGGCCAGGAGUAGAGAAGAAGAGGGAACAAAAGACACAAAACACAGAUCUCUGGCCUCCGAGGGCAACCAAGAGGGAAAAGAAAUGUCCUUGCGCCUUGGGAAUUAGCCCUGGACUCGAGCUUAGAACUUGCCAGCCCAGACAGGAGCUUCAAACCUUUGAGACUGAAUUUCCAACUUGGUAAGAGAAGAUCACUUGAGUGUCUCAUCCUAGUUCAUCGUUCUGCAGCAGGAACACGAGGCCGUGGGCCUUGGCAGUGUUCGUCUCCCGAAUGCGUGAUCUUUGCCCGCCUGAAAACUCCCCUCAUCCCGCCGACCCCAGCUUCCAUAGCCCUUUCUCCGUGAGGCCGACCCAGAGGACCCCAGAAGUCAAUCACUCCCAUCUCUGUUCUAUUCCAGCACCUCCUGCGAUUUUCUGUAUUAUUGACAACCCCCUUCUGUAAUUUAUAGUUUGACGCCUCUGUUGGGCUGAGCUCGUCAAGGGCAGUCACGUUGCUGAUUCAUUCUUGUGUCCACACACGAAACGUGCUGGAUAAACCUGAGAUCCCCUUUGCGUUUUGGUGGCCCUGAGGUCCACUUCCCCUCUGCUGGGGCGCAGGGGAGGGCAGUGGGUGUGUCACUGGGCGUGGAUCACGGGGAACUGACAGAGAAUCUCCGCUUCCUCCUGUGAGUGAUGGCCACCUCGAUGUGCUGGAAAUGCCACUCUUUGGGGAACCUUGAAGGGAAAGUCUAGGGUCCCGACUGGUUCCAGGGGUGGGAAGGAGCACCGCUGGAGGGUGGGGGCUGUCUUCUUCCAGAAUAUGGGGGAGCUUCUUUGAGCCACCUGAGUGGGGUCAGGCCGCUUGGCCCUGGAGGUCAGCUAUUGGCACCUUGUCACUCCUGUUCAGUACCUGGCUGGGCCCAGCCUCUGAGAUCUGUUUGUAAAAAAUAAUUAUUUGCUUAAAACACGUGAA